rnacentral:rRNA from 1 species
UGAGGAACAUGACCUUCGGCGGGGGAGUAGCCGGCCCAACGGCCGGGUAAUACCGCGUACGACCACAUGGGGACAUCCCUGAGUGGUGAAAGCAGCAAUGCGCCGAUGAGUGCCUCACGGCCUAUCAGCUAGUUGGUGAGGUAACGGCUCACCAAGGCGACGACGGGUAGCUGGUCUGAGAGGAUGGCCAGCCACAUUGGGACUGAGACACGGCCCAGACCUCUACGGGGAGG